AGAGUUUGAUCCUGGCUCAGAACGUACGCUGGCGGCACGCCUAACACAUGCAAGUCGAACGCAGUAGCAAUACUGAGUGGCAGACGGGUGAGUAACAUGUGGGAAUCUGCCUUGUGGUUCARGAACACUACWUUGGGAAACCGGAUGCUAAUACYGGAUAAGCCCUUACGGGGAAAGUUUUAAUGGCCAUAAGAGUGAGCCCGCCAUUUGAWUAGUUAGUUGGUGGAGGUAAUKGCUCCACCAAGRCAAUGAUCAAUAGGCUGAUCUGAGAGGGAUGAUCAGSCACACUGGGACUGAGACACGGCCCAGACUCCUACGGGAGGCAGCAGUGGGGAAUCUUGCACAAUGGAGGAAACUCUGAUGCAGCGAUGCCGCGUGAGUGAAGAAGGCCUUUGGGUUGUAAAGCUCUUUUGUAGGGGAAGAUAAUGACUGUACCCUAAGAAUAAGGUCCGGCUAACUUCGUGCCAGCAGCCGCGGUAAUACGAAGGGACCUAGCGUAGUUCGGAAUUACUGGGCGUAAAGCGCGCGUAGGCCGUUGAGUUAGUUAAUUGUGAAAUCCCAAAGCUUAACUUUGGAACUGCAAUUAAAACUGCUCGACUAGAGUUUGAUAGAGGAAAGCGGAAUACAUAGUGUAGAGGUGAAAUUCGUAGAUAUUAUGUAGAACACCAGUUGCGAAGGCGGCUUUCUGGAUCAGCACUGACGCUGAGGCGCGAAAGUAUGGGUAGCAAAGAGGAUUAGAUACCCUCGUAGUCCAUACCAUAAACGAUGAUUGCUAGAUGUUGGAAAUUUAUUUUCAGUAUCGCAGCUAACGCAUUAAGCAAUCCGCCUGGGGAGUACGACCGCAAGGUUAAAACUCAAAUGAAUUGACGGGGACCCGCACAAGCGGUGGGAGCAUGUGGUUUAAUUCGAAGAUACGCGCAGAACCUUACCAACCCUUGGACAUGUCUGUCGCGAGUUUAGGAAACUAGACUUUUCGGUUCGGCSGGACAGAACACAGGUGCUGCAUGGCUGUCGUCAGCUCGUGGUCGUGGAGAUGUUGGGUUAAGUCCCGCMACGAGGCGCAMCCCCUACUUUUAGKUGSCAUCAGGUCAUGGCUGGGCACUCUGGAAAGAACUGCCACGUGAUAAGCCUGGGAGGAAGGUGGGGGAUGGACGUCAAGUCCUCAUGGGCCCUWACGGGUUGGGCUUACACAYGUGCUACAAUGGUAGUGACAAUGGAGAGUGGCCARGGUGUCGCGCACGCCUAAGACCUAAACUCAAAAAUCUACCUCAGUUCGGAUUGCACUCUGCAACUCGAGUGCAUGAAGCUGGAAUCGCUAGUAAUCGUAGAUCAGCGUGCUACGGUGAAUACGUUCCCGGGUCUUGUACACACCGCCCGUC
rnacentral:rRNA from 1 species